UAUAAAAUAAAUAUGUAUUUGAUUUAAAUAGAAAUACAAGACAAUCUUUCUUGAGAACGUUAUAUAUUGCGAAUCCCGAGUAUUCAGCCAAAAAAACGGCGCUGAGACGCAGAAUAUAAAUCUAUGGAUGUGAGUGUGUGUGUGCAUACACGCGUGUAUGUGUGUACGUGUGUAACGAGAUCUGACUCGUCGCAAAUGGUUUCUUAGUCGCGAUAUAAGCGCGGGUUGCGGAGCGCGGGGCGCGAAUUAGCUGUGCGACGCAGCGCACCUGAUUGGUUCUUGCGGUACGCGGGUAUGUGAAUCGCGGUCGCGUUCGUGUUUACACGUCGUGAUAUAGUGUGAGUUUCUCUCGAUACAAUAAGGAAAACUGAGAAUGCGUUUGAGUACUCGGCCGAGAACACUUGGCAGAGGCAAAGAAAACUCUACCCCUUUUCUGCUGUCGAGGCCGGUAGUUUUGAAUAGCCGACGGUCCAAAAAGCUCGACAGAGACAGAGUUACUCUCUAUUCCUAGAAUCUUGUCGGUGUGCGGAGUAAGGCGGCAGGCUCGAGAACGCUCGACGUGGCAGAGUACACUCCGCCACGGAAAUUCCCGUCGGUGCACAGUUGCAUUGGGGGAGGCCGAGAACGCUUGGCGAGGCAGAGUACACUCUGCCUCAGAGACUCUCGUCGAUGCAGCGGUUUAGGAUAAGCCGGUCGGUGGCGAACACUCGAUAAUUGCAGAGCUUUCUACCACUCGCUACUAUCGACCGGAAGAUUCGGAACUGGAAAAGGAGCAGAUCGGGAUCGUUCCGGAAUCGUUCAGCGAUUCUCGCCGAGAACAAUACGAGCGAACAUCGUUCGGCGGAAUUCGGAUGUAUUCAUGAAACCUCGACUGCUGCGUCACCUCGAAUACAAGGAUACCAGGAUGUGCCAAUCACAUCGGAAAACAUGAAGCUACGAAUUAUUGCAGUAUGUACAACAAUCAGUCCGGAAAUGUUAAGAAGUGUACGUGCUUCAGAAAUUCAACGAUUGCAGUGUUGCAUUGAUGUAAACUUCGAGCACUUCUUGACAUGCUUACACUAUUUUAGCUUAAACAAAACUGGAGAUCCACGCAGUAGAAUGCGAACAAUUAAACGACUGUGCCAUCAGAUUACCGAGCGAAGUGGUUGAGCUUUGGCAACUACAUCAGAAAGGAACGUAUCCCGUUCAUAGUCUAUGUCGACCUAGAAUACACCCUGGAAAAGACGGAGAGAGAUACGAAACGUCCAGCUACACGUACCAGCAUUAACGGGGAUUUAGUUUAGCAUAUUAUGUCCACUGUUCGUACGACGAUUUGUUGUGUACAUUUAAGUUUUGUCAUGGAAACGAUUGCAUCGCAUGGUUCGCCGAGGAAUUUAAAAACUUAGCGUAUAAAAUAAAGACUAUGUUGUCCACUAACGUUCCCAUGGAUUUUACGCGAGAUGAUGUGAUAAAUUUCAAUCCUCAGCGCAGAGGAUCUUCUCACACGCAAAGACAUAUUUCUGUACGAGUACAUUGACUGCGUCAAAAGUUAGACGAAACCGAGUUAUCAUCGCGCGAAUUAUUUUAUAGCUCGCUGACAGGUAUACAUAUAUGGCUGACAUAUCAUAUCCGAGAGCGAUUACGCGCACGUCGUUAACGUGUGACAGCGGUUUUCCUGCUCGGAGAAUAUAGCGAUCUGUAUUUAAAGAUAAACGUUUGUUGUUAGCCGACAUUUUCAAAAAUUUCCGUAACAGUUGCGUCGCGAGUUAUGGGCUCAACCCCGCGUAUUAUUAUGCACUACCGGAUUUACAUGGGAUGCGAUGUUGAAACAUACGCGUGUAAAAUUCGAACUUCUUAGGAACAUCGAUAUGGUCAUGUUCAUCGAACGUGGAGGUCUGAACCUAACAGAUCAAGGCUCAGAACAAGUAGAGAGUCAGAAGUCGUCUAACAACAAGUACAUGCAGUCGUAUGAUCCACCAUCGAAACUCGACAUAUGUACUUUGAUUUAUGUACUUUAACGUUAACAACCUAUACGGUUGGACAAUGUGUCAACCAUUAUCAUACGCCGAUUUUCGAUGGGUCGACGAUGUAAACAAUUUUGAUGUUACGAUCAUCGCGACAGAUUCACCGAUAAGUUAGACUUGGUACCCCCGUUCUCGAGGUAGACUUGGAGUAUUCGCAAUAUCUUCAUAACGCUCACAUAGACCUACCAUUCUGUCCGAUGCACGAGAAAUCACCCGAUAAGCGAGAGAAGAAGCUCCUCGCUACGUUGUAGAGCGUGAUAGAGCGUUACGUAAUUCAUUAUCGUAAUCUACAACAAUAUACUCGUCACGAUUUCAAUAUCGUAAAAAUUUACCGCUUGUUGCAAUUCGCGCAAUCUCUAUGGCUUCGCGAAUACAUCGAAUUCAAUACGAAUUUUAGAACUCUUUCCAACAACGAGUUUGAAAAAAAUGUGUAUAAAUUAAUAAAUAAUGCUGUAUUUGUUAAAACCAUGGAGAAUAUGCACAACCACGUCGACGUGCGACUUGUAACGCAUUGGGACGGGAGAUACGGUGCGGAGGCAAUGACACAAAACCAAAUUUUCAUAGUAGAAGCGUUUUUUCUGAGACUCUAGUCGCGAUAGAAGUAAUUUGAGAUGAAAUUCGACAAAUCGUAUGUGUAUCUUCGAUAUAUCCAAGACAUGUUUGUAAGAAUUUCAUUACAAGUACAAAUCGCUGUUUCGCGAAAAUUGUAAAGUCAUGUACACUGAUACGGACAGUCUUAUUUACUACAGGGAGUAAAUAUAAAUAAUGCGACAACGUCUACUAUAUUUUGAAACGCGAUAUCGAUCGAUUCAACACUAGCAACAAUGCGUACGGUAUUCCGCUCGCUAAUAAAAAAGUUCCGAGCUUAAUGAAAGAUGAAAACAAUGGUACGAUAAUGACCGAAUUCAUCGGGCUUAGACCAAAAAUGUACGCCUUGCGCCUCGAUGGGAAAAAGGAAAAGGAUUUAAAAAUUAUGUUACAGCGAGAUCGAUAACAUUUGAUUACAUGCGAUGUCUAAAUAACGAAAUCGAAAUGAAGCACAGGCAAUCGUGCAUAAAAUCGAAAUUGCAUGACAUCGGAAACGAAAAUUGCUCUAAGUCCGUACAAUGACAAACGAUACAUUGUGCUAGAUUCUAUAGACACUCAUGGGGACAUUAUAAAAUAUUACUAUGAAAAUAAAUAAGAAAAACGAAUUUUCAU